ensembl:lncRNA novel transcript
UGGUUUGUGGAUCAUUUAUCUAAUAGGUAUUCAAUAUCUAAAGACAAUCCAUUCAUAAAACUGGUGGAAUCUGUAGGUAAUUAAGUGGGUGUUGUAGUUGUGAUUUUAUUUUAUGUCAGAAACAAGUUAGGUAUAAUUUAUAAAUAGGUAAAUUUUCUGUUUUUUUAGUAGGUGCUGCCCCCUUAAGUAGAACUAAGGAAAUUGUAUUAGGAAGAGUACUGAAUAAAUAUAACACUACAGUUUCUCAUUUACUAGUCACCAGGGAGACUGAUAUGACCAUUGCCUUUAAAUGAUCAUAGGGAAUUUGACUUACAUUCACCCUAUCACUUCUUGGGAGAAUAUGAGUGGGGUUGAAAGAGAAUCCCUCAGGUGCACAGAAUUUUAGUUAAUCAU